AUUGAACGCUGGCGGCAUGCCUUACACAUGCAAGUCGAACGGUAACAGGUCUUCGGAUGCUGACGAGUGGCGAACGGGUGAGUAAUAUAUCGGAACGUGCCCAGUCGUGGGGGAUAACGCAGCGAAAGCUGUGCUAAUACCGCAUACGCCCUGAGGGGGAAAGCGGGGGAUUCUUCGGAACCUCGCGCAAUUGGAGCGGCCGAUGUCAGAUUAGCUUGUUGGUGAGGUAAAGGCUCACCAAGGCGACGAUCUGUAGCGGGUCUGAGAGGAUGAUCCGCCACACUGGGACUGAGACACGGCCCAGACUCCUACGGGAGGCAGCAGUGGGGAAUUUUGGACAAUGGGGGCAACCCUGAUCCAGCCAUGCCGCGUGAGUGAAGAAGGCCUUCGGGUUGUAAAGCUCUUUUGUCCGGAAAGAAAAGCGCCGGGUUAAUACCCUGGUGUCCUGACGGUACCGGAAGAAUAAGCACCGGCUAACUUCGUG
rnacentral:rRNA from 1 species